ensembl:snRNA U6 U6 spliceosomal RNA
GUUUAGUAGACAGCACAUAUACUAAAACUGGAACAGUACAUAGAUUAGCAUAGCCUCUGUUCAAGGAUGACAAGCAGAUUAGAAAAGUACUGUGUAUUCUA